UUGGCUGCUAUGUGCUUUGAAUGCAGAGCUCAAAAAGACAACGUGCUCCAACCCAAAGGAGGUGUGACUGUUAGUGAGGGAGAGACAGUAACACUGGACUGUCACUAUAACACCAGUGACUCAAGUCCAUAUCUUUACUGGUACAGACAGGCUGCAGACGACAAGCCCACAUUCAUUCUGAUCCGCAUUACUGCUGAAUCAGGGAACACAGCGGACGAGUUCAAGGAGAGAUUUGAUUCCAGCCUGGAUUCCAGCUCAAGAUCAGUUCCUCUGAAGAUCCAGAGUCUGCAGCUGUCUGACUCUGCUGUGUACUACUGUGCUCUGAGGCCCACAGUGACAGGAAACUGCAGAACCUACUACAAAAACCUUAGAGUGUAUAUCAAGAAUCCAGAGACAACGCAACUAUAA